UCGAAUGAGUCAAAAGUAUACAACUUUCCCUUGGUUCCUCUAUCAAAAACACUUGCAAAGUGUCACAAUUUCUGAUCCUAAGUUCCACCAUUUCUAGCUAUCAAAUCAAAAGGUCUCACACCAUGGUGAUCUGUGCCUUCUUCUCUCUCCCUUUACCUUUUGCUGUUGCCUGAGAAGGAAACAAGGCGAAGACAAAAUCAGGGUUUACUGAAAGCGAAGAAUCUAAAACCGAUCUUAUUAAAUUGAAAUAUCAAUCAUUUCCUAAUCACGCAAAUCUUUACCUAAGUUGAACAAAGCCUAGGAAACAACAAUACCAACACACUAAAGAUAUGACAAGCAGGAAACACAAACACCUGACUCUGAUUUCAGAAACAAUAAUGUUGUGGAGGUGUUCUGUAUGAGAUCCUCAGAUCCAUUUAUAUACAAACAGAUACAAGCAUUGCAGACGCUCUAAACCACAUCAACCAAUCAAGUACCACGCCAAAAUGACAUUGUUGAAGUAAUUUAUUGGUUCGAAUGGCCAAACUUAC
rnacentral:lncRNA from 1 species